CCUACGGGAGGCAGCAGUGGGGAAUCUUGGACAAUGGGCGCAAGCCUGAUCCAGCCAUGCCGCGUGAGUGAUGAAGGCCUUAGGGCCGUAAAGCUCUUUCGCCAGAGAUGAUAAUGACAGUAUCUGGUAAAGAAACCCCGGCUAACUCCGUGCCAGCAGCCGCGGUAAUACGGAGGGGGUUAGCGUUGUUCGGAAUUACUGGGCGUAAAGCGCGCGUAGGCGGAUUAGUAAGUUAGAGGUGAAAUCCCGGGGCUCAACCCCGGAACUGCCUUUAAUACUGCUAGUCUUGAGUUCGAGAGAGGUGAGUGGAAUUCCGAGUGUAGAGGUGAAAUUCGUAGAUAUUCGGAGGAACACCAGUGGCGAAGGCGGCUCACUGGACAGUUAUUGACGCUGAGGUGCGGAAGCGUGGGGAGCAAACAGGAUUAGAUACCCUGGUAGUCCACGCCGUAAACGAUGAUAACUAGCUGCUUGGGCUCAUGGAGCUUGGGUGGCGCAGCUAACGCAUUAAGUUAUCCGCCUGGGGAGUACGGUCGCAAGAUUAAAACUCAAAGGAAUUGACGGGG
rnacentral:rRNA from 1 species